AAACUGUCAAACAAUUUAUCAUUGUGAAAUUCUUGGAAUGAUGUGGUAAUGAGCAUGAGGUACUACGACCUUUUAUCCACAGCGUCUCCAUUCAGCUUUGAUGUCACCUGAUAAAAUGAUUUUUAAUAUCGAGUGAGCUGCCGUAAUGGGAUCUGGGAUGCAUUUUCUGACUCACCCCUCACAAUGGGACGAAGUGAGCAGAUCGAUUGUUUGGGCCCAUUCAACACAAAUUAAAACUUCCUAGGAUAAUCUCUACAAACGCUGCCUCCGCAGCAUGAAUACUAAGCAUAAGGAAUAUUGGCUGUUUUAUAAACAUACCUUCCCGCGAUUGGGUGGUACAGCAUGGUACAACACUCAAAUGGUCUCACAAUUGCUUUUGUUUCAGAAACAUUCUCGGUUGCCAAUCACCAGUUCAAACGAUAUUGUUCAACGAAAUUUUCAGCGAAAUUUGUAUUUAAAAAGAAAUACUACUGGAAUAAUACAAUACAAACACGUAAAUUGAAAAACUAGCAAUUAAAAAUAUCAAUAGUUGUGUUUACAGAAACCGUUCAAAAAUAAAAUUUAUCAUCUUUUUUUUGUCUUCUCAUUUCACAUUUCCGAAAUCACAUCACACACAUUAAAAUUGAUUAAUAUAAAUUAAAAAUUACUAAGUUUGACUAGAUUUAAAUGUCUUUUUGAACAACCGUUUUUUUAUAAUGUGUUUGAAUAAUAGAACCUUUCCAUUGCAAAUGAAAUAAUUUUACCAACUGUGUUAAAAGAAAGAGUAAGUCCAUUUGUGGUAAAUAGAAUGUGAGCGUCUGGAAGUUUUAUCAGAGACUUCCGUCGAAACCAGUUCUUUCCAGUGCGAUCUUCCAAACUGCCCUUCUCAAAUCUGCCGGUAAGACUAAUUUUAAGUUGGGUGCCAAAGUGUAACUGCCGGUUGCUCAGCGGGGAGCCUUCCUGAAACUCCCUGACUACAAUACACCUCAGGGUCGGCAUGCUUAACGGGAAGAUUCGAGAUACAAGGAAUGACCGCACUGAAGCACAGAAAAACUCACAUUCUUUGGUUUCGUUCGCUACAUUUAUUCGGACUUUUCCGACUCACUUCCACAUCGUCCCACCUUCUUAGCCUACGCUAACCUUAUUUUCCGGUAAUCGCUUCUUUCCCGCCAAUCAGCGCCUGGCUUUCCUCCACGCUACGGCUUGGUGUGACUACGGUGCAAUAAGAAAGGGGCUUUCUUCCCGCCAGUUAGCGGUUGACACUUCCCGUACUGACUUGGUGAUGGGAUGCAAUGGCGUCCUCUGCUUACUCAUACACCAUCCUGGAGCCUCUCCGAGUAUGUUGACGGACUCGGUCGCGGGCCUAUAUCUCCGGAACUGUGCCCAUAAGGGGGGGGGGGGGUUCAUCAGCUUGGCUUUGUACCACCGAAUGGCGGCGCACUCUACAGUUCCGGAAUUUACUAUCUCGUUCGGUAGAUUAAGGAGGACGAUCCUCUACCUUUCGCCAUCACCGUGUUACUCUUUUUUCCUCUCUUCUCCCAUCUCCCCACCUGCCAAGCGUAGAUCAUCAUGGCGUAUUCCUUGCCAUCCUUUUGCUACCAAUAUG